UACGUAGGGUGCAAGCGUUCAUCGGAAUUACUGGGCGUAAAGCGUGCGCAGGCGGUUCUAUUAGACAGAUGUGAAAUCCCCGGGCUCAACCUGGGAACUGCAUUUGUGACUGUAGAGCUGGAGUACGGCAGAGGGGGAUGGAAUUCCGCGUGUAGCAGUGAGAUGCGUAGAUAUGCGGAGGAACACCGAUGGCGAAGGCAAUCCCCUGGGCCUGUACUGACGCUCAUGCACGAAAGCGUGGGGAGCAAACAGG
rnacentral:rRNA from 1 species